CGCCGGGAUCGGGGUGAUCCCGGCGGGUCUUCCCAGGCUCCAGCCACGUCUCCAGGUGGCCCCGCGGGCUGAGCGGGGACAGCGGUGCGAGACGAGGUGUCCUCAGCGCCCCGAGCCUCCUGUAGGCUCUUCCUCAGCCCGUGGGAAGCGAGUGAUCGCUGCACCCCCCGCCCUGAGCCGCUCUGGGUAGUGAGUGGCUCCGGGCGCCUGUCACUGGAGAGCGGAAAUGCUAAGGAAAAAAAAAAAAACAAAAACACCGACAGGGCAUACCCGACUCACGCUGGCCCUCUGGUACAAACCCAGUGUGCCUAUCAUCAGUUUGAGGACUUCAGAGCAUGCUUGCAGUGUGUGGUGCGUGAGGAAAAGGAAGAAAAAUGACUAAAACUUGAAGUCAGACUCUGGCAUGCUUGAAUACCAUAUGCCUGCACUAUUGAGAGACUGGAGCAGAGUAUCUGGAGAAAGAUGAGAGAGUGUGGGUGGCAAUAGAAAAAACAACCACCACUAUAAUUUCUGGAAAUUAUUUCAGCUGAAUGAAUGCAGUGAAGACAUCUCAUGGGAAUAGGAGAGGUCUUGCAGACAAUACCCGACUGACUCUUCAGGCAAAAAAAGCAAGACACACCAAGAAAAUAGAAAUAUGACCCUAAAAAUCCCACCUGGGAUGCCUUAGAAUGGAUGUGAAAGUCCAGGCAAAUGAAGACUGCUCAAGCACUAGUUGCUUUAUAAACCUAAGAGGGUGAGAGGGAAAAGAUGGGCAGAAAAUAUCAAAGGCUUUGCCAUGGUUCUUAACCUCAUUG